rnacentral:rRNA from 1 species
GAUGAACGCUAGCGGGAGGCCUAAUACAUGCAAGUCGAGGGGCAGCAGGUCCAAACUUCGGUUAGGAUGCUGGCGACCGGCGCACGGGUGAGUAACGCGUACGCAACUUACCUCCAAGAGGGGGAUAGCCCUGGGAAACCGGGAGUUAAUACCCCAUGAGUUUCACUUCAGGCAUCUGAGGUGGAAUAAAGCUGAGGCGCUUGGAGAUGGGCGUGCGUGCUAUUAGCUAGUUGGUGAGGUAGCGGCUCACCAAGGCGACGAUAGCGUACGGGGCGUGAGAGCGUGGCCCCCCACACGGGUACUGAGACACGGACCCGACUCCUACGGGAGGCAGCAGUAAGGAAUAUUGGACAAUGGGCGCAAGCCUGAUCCAGCCAUCCCGCGUGCAGGAUGACGGCCCUAUGGGUUGUAAACUGCUUUUUUCAGGGAAGAAAAUUAACUACUUGUAGAGAUUUGACGGUACCUGAGGAAUAAGCACCGGCUAACUCCGUG